CCUACGGGUGGCUGCAGUGGGGAAUAUUGCACAAUGGGCGCAAGCCUGGUGCAGCCAUGCCGCGUGUGUGAAGAAGGCCUUCGGGUUGUAAAGCACUUUCAGCGGGGAGGAAGGCGGUGAGGUUAAUAACCUCAUCGAUUGACGUUACCCGCAGAAGAAGCACCGGCUAACUCCGUGCCAGCAGCCGCGGUAAUACGGAGGGUGCAAGCGUUAAUCGGAAUUACUGGGCGUAAAGCGCACGCAGGCGGUCUGUCAAGUCGGAUGUGAAAUCCCCGGGCUCAACCUGGGAACUGCAUUCGAAACUGGCAGGCUAGAGUCUUGUAGAGGGGGGUAGAAUUCCAGGUGUAGCGGUGAAAUGCGUAGAGAUCUGGAGGAAUACCGGUGGCGAAGGCGGCCCCCUGGACAAAGACUGACGCUCAGGUGCGAAAGCGUGGGGAGCAAACAGGAUUAGAUACCCUAGUAGUC
rnacentral:rRNA from 1 species